AGCAAGAGGGACCGGGUUUGGGUGCAGACACCUAGAGAAGGCACAGAGCCCCUCAGCUUGCAUUACCGGCAGCAGGAGGAAUACGUUGGGAAAGCACCGACCCUGCAGGGGAAGCAUUUAGAUUCUCUCUCAUUCGCGACACUCAUCUGGAAGUCAGGAGCUGAGGAGAGCGAACGCCUCCCGCCGCCCGCACCCCUCCGCCCCGACGGGAAGAGGAAAACGAACGAGCUUUCCCGGCCACCGGAGCGGACAGGGAUAUAGCGCGUUCGAGGGAAAACUCCAGUCGCGCUGAGCUUCUCGGGGAGAGAGGAGCGGGUGGGCGGUAAGCAGGUGGCAGCUCUAUCAGGGUUUUCGGAUGUGUAUGAAUUUAUAGCCACGGCAGCCAUGCGUCAACUGGACGUGAGAUCACCCAGAAACCGCACCUGACCCGGGAAGGGCUGCUGCCCGCAGGCCCUGGGGCUCACGCCGUUACUGGGGCAGUACAAGUUCACCACCCCGCUCUGCCCACAGGACGCCGACCUCGCAAACAUGCUCUGCCUGCAUCAGAGAGGAAAAAAAAUCAAUUAAAAAUUACAUUUUGAAGUAUGAACUCUUUCAGCAGUGAGACAGCCUGGGAGAAGAGGUUUUCAACAAACCAACAGACACACGGGGACUCUGUGAUCCGCUUGUCUUGUGAAGAGGAUGACAAAUCUAUAGGCACAGGGCUUCCUGGCUCGACUGAUUCAAAGAGCUCUGCUAUCGACAGGGUCACCCGUGUGAGCGUCUCAUCUUGCAGCUCCCGAAACGGCAGUGAAGUCGUCAGUGUGAAGGGAACACCUCCUUCUGAUCCUUGAU